UUCGAAUGCCGUAUACACGCGUAUAAUACGGGUCCGUGACGUCAGACACGUCAUCUCCGCGUGGAAGCUAAGGACCAACUGGCGCUUCAGGCGCUGUAUUUCAGGAGAUCCCGAUCUGCGCACAGCUACUGCCCCUGGACCGGCGCGUUAGAGUAUAAAUUUCACAGUUCACGGAAGAUGUCUACCCUUAUCUGUUAGCCGACACCUUUUUAAAUAUGGGCUACAUUAUUAGCAACAAUCUACAUCUGUGUUUUAAAAAUCGAAGCAGUGCGGCCAGUGCGUCUCAAUACUAUAACAGAAUCCUUAAAAGAGCCAGGCCAGAGGGACCUUAUCUACCAACGGUACCAAUCGAAGACUAUAC